GACGAACGCUGGCGGCAUGCCUAAUACAUGCAAGUCGAGCGGACAGAAGGGAGCUUGCUCCCGGAAGUCAGCGGCGGACGGGUGAGUAACACGUGGGCAACCUGCCCCUUAGAUUGGGAUAACUUCGGGAAACCGAAGCUAAUACCGAAUAAUACAAGGAACCUCCUGGUUCUCUGUUGAAGGAUGGCCUUUGUGCUGUCACUAAGGGAUGGGCCCGCGGCGCAGUAGCUAGUUGGUAAGGUAACGGGUGACCAAGGCGACGAUGCGUAGCCGACCUGAGAGGGUGAUCGGCCACACUGGGACUGAGACACGGCCCAGACUCCUACGGGAGGCAGCAGUAGGGAAUAUUCCGCAAUGGACGAAAGUCUGACGGAGCAGUGCCGCGUGAGUGAGGAAGGCCUUCGGGUCGUAAAGCUCUGUUGUGAGGGAAGAACAAGUACCGGCGUAACUACCGGUACCGUGACGGUACCUCACCAGAAAACCACGGCUAACUACGUGCCAGCAGCCGCGGUAA
rnacentral:rRNA from 1 species